rnacentral:rRNA from 1 species
GAUCAACGCUGGCGGCGUGCCUAAUGCAUGCAAGUCGAACGGAGCCGCCUUCGGGUGGUCACGUGGCGGACGGGUGAGGAACACGUGGGCGAUCUGCCCCGAGGUGGGGGAUAGCCACCAGAAAUGGUGGGUAAGACCGCAUGAGCUUGCCACCCUACGGGAUGGCAAGGAAAGUCGGGAGACGCCUUGGGAGGAGCCUGCGGCGGAUUAGCUGGUUGGUGGGGUAACGGCCUACCAAGGCGAUGAUCCGUAGCUGGUCUGAGAGGAUGGCCAGCCACAGGGGAACUGAGACACGGUCCCCACUCCUACGGGAGGCAGCAGCAAGGAAUUUUCCGCAAUGGGCGCAAGCCUGACGGAGCAACGCCGCGUGGGGGAUGACGCUUUUCGGAGUGUAAACCCCUUUUCUCAGGGAAGAAGGAAGUGACGGUACCUGAGGAAGAAGGACCGGCUAACUACGUGCCAGCCGCCGCCGUAACA